rnacentral:rRNA from 1 species
GUGGUCCGGGUUUCUUGGGCGUAAAGCGGGCGCAGGCGUGUUCUUAAGGUGGACGUGAAAGCCCCCGGCUCAACCGGGGAGGGUCAUGGGAAACUGGGGGACUUGAGUGCAGAAGAGGGGAGUGGAAUUCCAUGUGUAGCGGUGAAAUGCGUAGAUAUAGAGAGGAACACCAGUGGCGAAGGCGACGCUCUGGGCUGUAACUGACGCAGAGGCUGGAAAGCGUGAGGAGCAAACAGGAUGAGAGACCCUGAUAGGCCACGCCGUAAACGAUGCGUGCUAAGUGUUGGAGAGUUUCCGCCCUUCAGUGCUGCAGCUAACGCAUUAAGCACCCCGCCUGGGGAGUACGACCGCAAGGUUGAAACUCAAAGGAAUUGACGGGGGCCCGCACAAGCGGUGGAGCAUGUGGUUUAAUUCGAAGCAACGCGAAGAACCUUACCAGGUCUUGACAUCCUUUGACCACUCUAGAGA